AAUUGCUGUGUCCUUGAAUGACUGUGCCCUGCCCCCUUCUCUCCUGCCUCAUUAGUUCCUCCUCAAGGGAUAUAUAUAACAAUCUGAUGCAUACCUUUGAGUUGUUCUGCAGGAACUAAGACCCUCACCCAUGUUGAACACAAGCAGUAGACCUUGGACUGGUUGGUACCAGGUUGAUGAUGUUGACUCCUGAAAUACGCUGUCACCUCACCACACUCCAAUCAGAGAACUGUGCACAAGCUGAUCACGCACUCUUUUACCCCUUUUACUUUUAAAAACCUUACACCCAGGCCAGCCGAUAAGAUGGAUCUGAGACCAGUCUACAUCUCCCAUCUUCUUGGUCAGUGCCUUCUCAAUCAAUAAACCUUUCUCUGCUCCAAACCUGAUAUUUUUGGUUUGUUUGGCCUCACUGUGUGUUGGGCACACAAUGUUGAGUUCAACAACAAAACUUGUUUUUCUCCUGUUAAUCUGUUUUUUAUUACAGGGAGUCUUAGCCAAGAACCUAGAAGGGUAGAGGGUAAGUGAGUUUUCCUCCCCUACAGAAGCAACUUACCUUCUUGUAUCUGACCUUCUCUUGGGGGAAGGUAAGCUUUAAACAAAUCAUUAGGAAAAUAAUCAUUUAAUUAUAAUUGUGAUAUGUUCAGGGGGCUAUGAGUGUCAAAGAAUAAGGACAAAGAAACUUGUCAGAGAGUGUAAAAUGGGGUUCUGGGGCAAACUAGGGAGCCAGGGAAAGCCUCUUAAGCAAAGCUGGUAAAUGUUUUACACUCAUUUGUGCCUAGACACAAAGACAGUGGACAAAGCUCCGAGACCCGGUGAAGGUGUGGUUUCCCAGACUGGCAGGCAGUCGGGUGAGUGGUGACACUGUUUCACUGGUGUCAUCACCUGCUUGGUAGCAGCCUACACCUUUACUUGAUUGAAAUUUGGAUUGGACUGAAGCUGAAGAGACUUACUCCUUUUUUGUUUUCUCCAUAAGUUAUCUAGCUCCAUUCCUAAUUGUCACUUUUGUUGCUAUAUUUCGUACUUAGACUCGCUAUUUUGUUGAAGUAAAAAGUAUCAGUUCCAUGCACAUCUAUGCUCUAUUAAGGUCAGUGCCAGACAUUGACACUCGCCACUGUGUCUCUGAGAGUUGAAGUUCUGUACCCCAAGGAUGCCAUACAAGAUGAGGGGAGAUAUGCAGAAAUACCACCGGAAAGCCAGAGUUAGAGAAAUACUGCCUGUGGGUUCCUUUCUGUGCUGGUGUCUUUGGAGUUUGGUUGGAUUUCCUGAAUGGAGCAAGAAAAAAUUCAGGAUCAUGUAACAGCAACAUGUCUGGACCAAUGUCUCCCUAGGCUGCCAAACCCUUCUGAGAGUUGGGUCUCUUCUAUCUCUUCCAUUUCACUUGUGGAUGAGGAAAUGUGGAAUUUUUUUCAGUCUGCCAAAUAGAAUCACACUUGUUUUCUUAGGGUCCAUGGUAAGGAAGCAGGAUCUAUACUCAUCAUUCAUCUGAGCAGCACAGUCGGCGCUAGCCAGAAAGUUAGUUUUGUGGAAGUGACUAGCCUCUCAAUUCUUUAUGAGGUAGACUUUUCUUGUGUGAUACCAUUAUUUGACUUCUGUUUGCAUUUGAAUAUGGGUUUAUUAAUAAGCCAAGUGUGAUGAUGAGCUGCCAUUUUGCCUAUAUCAUUGCUGCUUCUAUUAUCAGAAAGAAUCAACAGGUGAAGGGGGAGGGUAUAAGUUCAGUGGUAGAGUGUGAGGUUAGCAUGCACAAGAUGCUGGGUUCAAUCCUCAUUACAUCUUUGAAAAAAUAAAAAGUAAAGUUGGUUUCUUAAAAAAAAAAAGGAACUAACUAUUAAAAAUAUAAUCAAUAGGUGAGCCAUGUUGAGAAGCACCUAAUUCUAUUGUGACUCACACUGCCCUUGAACAAAGCAACUGGAUUUCCAUUUUUCUUUGGGUUUUGCUAAACAUCAAGGUUUUUCAUUGGUCUAGUGGGCAUCCUACCCUAUCUCAACAUAGGCUUUCCAUGUGGGACAUACCAGACUCUGAUGGAAAUGCAAAUUGAACUUGUUGAGCUGCUUUUUGCCAUGCAACUUUUGGUCUUUAAGGUUCACGUCCAUGAAUAUCUCUGAAAGAUAGUGGCAAAUCCUUUGGGUCUCCACUUUCCAUCCCUGAAGCUUUUUGGCAUUAACCUGCUUCCUCUGAGAAGAACACCAGUGGAAAACUGGGGAAUCCAGUUGGCACUGUUAGGUUAUAUAGUUCAUUUUUAAGCCUUCAUGGUAAGUUUUAAACUUGCCAUCUUUUUCUUGAACAAGAAAUGUUUUUGAAAAUAGAAUACUGCUUUGAUUUUUUUUCCUCUAGGGGAGACUGUGCUUUCAGUUAAUAUGCUGAGAGUAUUCUGGAGAGUAAGAUAAAAGUCUAGAACCUAGGGCUUGGGACCAGUGUCCCAGUAAACUAAACUUUUCCCCACUGAAUCUUCCUCUCAAGGGGAUCCUCUGAAUUAGAGUAACCUCAUCAUGUGCCACAGGCCAGGGUGAUGAGACUACUUGUUAUAAUGGUCACUUCUGUAGAGAAUUUAGUGGUCAGCAGUCAACAUCUAGUUAAUUUAGAUUAUCUACAUUUCUGGAGUAGCAAUUUCUGAAUUUAUUUGCACAAGUAUAUAUUAUUUUAGUGUCCAACUUGAGAAGUAUGAAGACUCAGAAGUAAUUUUCAACCCAGAAUGUGACUUCUUUGUUGCCAUCAUUGAUUUUACCCAGAAGAGUUCUGAUAGGAUGAGAGUGGCUUUUGAGUCACCUUUGCUUUUCUGAAAAAGCCCAGCUUAAAUGCGAUUUUAGUCGCAGGCAGAAAGAAUUCAGGAAGAGCAUCAAAGGAAAAAUAAUAUGUAACCUAGAAUACCAAAUGGAAAUACAGUACAAGUCAGGUAAACUCUUGAGGCUUUCAGACUCAAACUGGAACUGCACAUGAGGUCUCCUGGGUGUCCAGCUUGCCAAGUCACCCUGCAAAUCUGGGACAUCUCAGCCCCGUAAUCAUGACAGAUACCUGGGAGGAGAAAACCUGGAUGACGAGAAUUAUCUUCAACUUUAUAAGGAAUGUUUCUGGAAGCAGCAGCAGGCUUGCAUCCUUACCUGAGGCAGAGGAUGUUUGGAGACGGACAUAAGGGUUAUAAGGAUCCUUCUGAAAAUUUUCCCAGAGAGUGAAAGAAACCAAGUCAACCCUGCUGGAUGAUUGGGGUGCAAUGAUCUGGAACUGAACCUGUAAUCUCUCCAAGGCCUACCUGUACCAUGUGUCUGAAUACAAUGCCUGGAACUUAAUAAAUGUCUGGGCAAUGAUUGCAACCAAGAAAAAUACUGUUUUGCCUAUUGAUUGUAGAUGAACAAAAUCAAAGUCACUGAAAAUUAUCAUCUAGGAGAAACAAUACUUUGGGAGUGUACUGUAUAAAAACUGUUCAGCAAUCAAGUUUGUGUUAUUUUUUUAAAGUAAAAUUGGUUGUUUGGUGGGACUCCUGCCUUCUGUGAGGAGAUACCAACUAGAACAAUGAGCAAAGAAAUUGGUCUCUACCAGCUAAGCAAUUAUUUCCGUUGCCAAGACAUCACAGCUCCAAGAUUCAUGCCACAAUAUAGGACACACAAAAGGUUUUAGACUGAGAGCCACAACCCUUGACCUCUAGGCCCAGCUCAGCCACUAGGUUAUCGAUGGCUCCUGAAGAAAACCGUCUAAUUCUGCAGAUUUGUGUCAUGAAGGGACCACGAAAGUACUGGCAGCAAGGCCUCAAUACCCACCCCACCUCAUUACAGUGUUGGUUCAAAAGGUAUUAUUUCAGAGCUGAACUGGAAAUAAGAAGGGGAAGUCAUCAGGUACAAGAAAGAAAGAAGGUUAUUACAAGAUAUUGAAUAUAGUUCUCUGUGCUAUAUAGGGAAUGUUAAUCCUCAGCACCUCCAGUAGAAAGAGCUGCUCUAGCGGCCAGAGAAAGCCUGCAAGAAGAGAAUUGCAGCUGCUGGCAUUGGAAGCUACAUUGGUAUGCAUGGAAAUGGGACACGUGCCAUCAGGAAUGUGUGACUUCUGUGGGUCUGGACACACUCUCACGUGGCUGAUGCUUGGUUUGGCAUGAUGAUACUGAUUCCGGAGCUACGUUCUUUUCUACAAGGUGGGUAUCUAUCUACCCUGUUUGGAAGGGAAAGAUUGGAGAGAUGGUCUAUGUCCAUCUAAGUUGGCUGGUUGAGAUUCCUCACGGUGAUGGUGAGCCAAUGCUUAGAUGACAAUGGAGUGGCAUCGUCAUCUGUCCAUUCUGAGUCCUGUCCUUUCUGUCUUCCUCAAAACGAAUACUCACAGCACACCCCUGGAGAUAUGAGCAGUUCUUUAUUUGUGGUUCAGGAAAUGAUCCCAAUGUAUAGAGCUGGGGGAUGGUAUGAGAAGGGGAGGGGUUGCUAUCAAGUACUGUGACCACGGCUUCCUUGUUCCUUUGUAUUAUACGUAGAGGCAAAGUCCUCAUUGUCUAAGCAAUUGGAGUAUGUGAAUGUGAAUGCCCCCUUGUUCGCUAACUCUCCCACCUCUCCUUUAAGAGAUUCCCCAUUGAAGGGCCCCUUCUGGCACCUCCCUAGAUUGCUAACCUCCCUGUAGAAUAAUAAAGCCCCUGUCUCUUCUUGAGACUUUUGAAUUCAGACUUCCCAGCAGUCUACUGGAUGUGAAGAGCUUUCCCCUGGUACUACAGUAUGGGAUGCUCUGGCCCUGUG